AGUGAACGCUGGCGGUAGGCCUAACACAUGCAAGUCGAACGGCAGCACAGUAAGAGCUUGCUCUUACGGGUGGCGAGUGGCGGACGGGUGAGGAAUACAUCGGAAUCUACUUUUUCGUGGGGGAUAACGUAGGGAAACUUACGCUAAUACCGCAUACGACCUACGGGGGAAAGCAGGGGAUCUUCUGACCUUGCGCGAUUGAAUGAGCCGAUGUCGGAUUAGCUAGUUGGCGGGGUAAAGGCCAACCAAGGCGGCGAUCCGUAGCUGGUCUGAGAGGAUGGUCAGCCGCACUGGAACUGGACCACGCUCCAGGCUCCUACGAGAGGGAGCAGUGGGGAAUAUUGGGCAAUGGGCGCAAACCUGAUACAGCCAGACCAAGUGGGUGGAGAAGGCCUUCGGGUUGUAAAGACCUUUUGUUGGGAAAGAAAAGCAGCAGGUUAAUACCCCGCUGUUCUGACGGUAACCAAAGAAUAAGCACCGGCUAACUUCGUG
rnacentral:rRNA from 1 species